GUUUGUAUAUUUCAAUUGGAAAUUUUACAAGUCUCGUAAUAAUUUGUUAAAAAUAAUAUGAAAAUUUGAGCUCAAAGUCUUUAGCCAUUGGAAUGGAUCGCGUGUUGAAUGUGAAUGGAACCCAGGUGAUGAAUACAGUUGCAAAUGGAAAGUUUCUGGAUUUUAUUAUAAGUGCAUCCACACAGCUCUUCAAAUGGCUGCUAAGCAUCUGUUGCAGUUAUGUGGAUCCCGAAAAUAUGCUACAAUACAUGGAUUAACAGAUAAAAGAUCCUAUCUAUAAAAGAUUAAAGAUCGUAUCUAUAAAAGAGACCAUUAAUAUGAAAGAGACCAUAGUGAAUACUUGGGUUCCAUUCUCAAGAUUGUUGGAAAAAGCGCCAUUCCAGUUCUUCUAUCUUCUUCCAUCUAUGUAUAGAGAAGUAUAUAUAUUAUAAUAAAAGACUUUGAUUAUAU